rnacentral:misc_RNA from 1 species
UCACGUCUUACGACGGCAGUUUCACUAGAGUUCCCAGCGUUACCUGAUGGCAACUAGUGAUGGGGGUUGCGCUCGUUGCGGGACUUAACCCAACAUCUCACGACACGAGCUGACGACAGCCAUGCAGCACCUGUGUUCCCGUUCCCUUUCGGGCACAGCCCACUUUCGAGGGCCUCCAGGACAUGUCAAGGGUAGGUAAGGUUAUUCGCGUUGCAUCG